rnacentral:rRNA from 1 species
AUUGACCUCAAUCAGA